rnacentral:rRNA from 1 species
AGUGAACGCUGGCGGCGUGCUUAACACAUGCAAGUCGAACGAGAACGGAAUAUAGCUUGCUAUAUUUGUCAGCUAAGUGGCGCGCGGGUGAGUAAUGUAUAGAUAACCUGCCCUUAAGAAAGGAAUAACAGUUGGAAACGACUGCUAAUGCCCUAUAUGCCUUUAAUACAUAAGUAUGCAAGUGAAAGGCUUUAGUGCUUAAGGAUGGGUCUGUAUGGUAUCAGCUUGUUGGUGAGGUAAUGGCUCACCAAGGCUAUGACGCCUAACUGGUUUGAGAGGAUGAUCAGUCACACUGGAACUGAGACACGGUCCAGACUCCUACGGGAGGCAGCAGUGGGGAAUAUUGCACAAUGGACGAAAGUCUGAUGCAGCAACGCCGCGUGGAGGAUGACACAUUUCGGUGCGUAAACUCCUUUUAUAUAGGAAGAUAAUGACGGUACUAUAUGAAUAAGCACCGGCUAACUCCGUGCCAGCAGCCGCCGUAA